rnacentral:rRNA from 1 species
GACGAACGCUGGCGGCGUGCUUAACACAUGCAAGUCGAACGGAAAGGCCCUGCUUUUGUGGGGUGCUCGAGUGGCGAACGGGUGAGUAACACGUGAGUAACCUGCCCUUGACUUUGGGAUAACUUCAGGAAACUGGGGCUAAUACCGGAUAGGAGCUCCUGCUGCAUGGUGGGGGUUGGAAAGUUUCGGCGGUUGGGGAUGGACUCGCGGCUUAUCAGCUUGUUGGUGGGGUAGUGGCUUACCAAGGCUUUGACGGGUAGCCGGCCUGAGAGGGUGACCGGCCACAUUGGGACUGAGAUACGGCCCAGACGCAUACGGGAGGCAGCAGUGGGGAAUAUUGCACAAUGGGCGGAAGCCGGAUGCAGCAACGCCGCGUGCGGGAUGACGGCCUUCGGGUGGUAAACCGCUUUAGCCUGUGACGAAGCGUGAGUGACGGUAAUGGGUAAAGAAGCACCGGCUAACUACGU